GGUUUAAGGUCUUUGAUCAUCCAAAGUUUCACUACCCAAGUAAAUGUGGGAUUGGUUUAAGGUGUGAUUUUUAACUGUCGCUCAAUGUUCAACCACAAACCACCCGAAUGUGCGAAGGGAAGAGACGUAACGUCAAAGCCUCACAAGCACUCAUAAUUCUAGCGUCGAGUCGAUCGUACAUCUUCGCCCGUUCUCGCCUAUCCUCCGUGCUCCAUGACUUGCGUGACGGGACCGUAAUCGAGUAAUCGAGGGACGCAACAGGGAAGCUCAAUUGUGCAAAAGACGCGUUCGCUACUCAGUCCGCGUUCGAUUAUCGCACCGAGCGAAACGUCGCUAUCGAGCGGUGUGUGAAGAUUUAUCCGCGGUGAGCAAAACGUGUUCUGUUUGUAGCUAAACAAACUUUACAUUAGAACAACUAGAACGCAGUUGCGGAAUGGCAUUGGUUGGGAAUAGAAUAAUACUCGUAUUGCUUUGUUUCGUGCUGGGAAAUUUCGUGCUCUUUCACGAUCGUGAGAGAAUCGUUAUGGCGCAGUAUAUUGAGGAUGAAACAUCACUGCGCGGGUUGGAUUUUAUUGGAGAUUCACCGAAAGGUUUAUUUGGACGGUGGCACUCUGAGAAACAUUUCUUACGCCGGCUUCAUCUAGAUCGUUUGGGCGAAUGAUCGUUGACCUUGAUAUGUUAGCAGGCUGGUAAAGCCAUACGCAGAUUUAUGGAAUACUCCUGAAUAGAAUUGGAACCAAUCUCAACGGAUGCCUCACACGUGUGUACCCGAGACUGAGCAGAUGAUUUCAGAGAUCUAGACGGUACAAAAUGGUGUGUGAACAAAGCUCUCGAUUAUCGUUAAAUGCAGUGUGCGGAACGUAUUGCAAAUAAUGUUAAGUUUUUUUUACUGUCGAAUACAAUGCUAAACUAUUAAGAUACAAAUAAAACUAAAACGAAAUUUUGAAA